CCCUUAGAUGUCCUGGGCCGCACGCGCGUUACACUGAUGCAUUCAACGAGCUUAUAACCUUGGCCGAGAGGCCUGGGCAAUCUUGUUAACGUGCAUCGUGAUAGGGAUAGAUUAUUGAAAUUAUUAAUCUUGAACGAGGAAUUCCUAGUAAACGCAGAUCAUCAAUCUGCAUUGAUUACGUCCCUGCCCUUUGUACACACCGCCCGUCGCACCUACCGAUUGGAUGGUCCGGUGAAGCCUCGGGAUUGUGGUUCUUGCCGCUUUAUUGUGGCGUGACCGCGAGAACUUGCCUAAACCUUAUCAUCUAGAGGAAGGUGAAGUCGUGACA
rnacentral:rRNA from 1 species